CCAAUAGCGUAUAUUAAAGUUGUUGCAGUUAAAAAGCUCGUAGUUGAAUUUCGGGGUUAGUAGGUUGGUCAUGCCAUCGGUAUGUACUGGUCUCACUGAUUCCUCCUUCCUGAUGAACCGUAAUGCCAUUAAUUUGGUGUUGCGGGGAGACUGGACUGUUACUUUGAAAAAAUUAGAGUGUUUAAAGCAGGCUAACGCUUGAAUACAUUAGCAUGGAAUAAUGAAAUAGGACGUUUGAUCCUAUUUUGUUGGUUUCUAGGAUUGACGUAAUGAUUAAUAGGGAUAGUUGGGGGCAUUAGUAUUCAAUUGUCAGAGGUGAAAUUCUUGGAUUUAUUGAAGACUAACUACUGCGAAAGCAUUUGCCAAGGAUGUUUUCAUUAAUCAAGAACGAAAGUUAGGGGAUCGAAGACGAUCAGAUACCGUCGUAGUCUUAACCAUAAACUAUGCCGACUAGGGAUCGGAUGAUGUUAAUUUUUUAAUGACUCAUUCGGCGCCUUAC
rnacentral:rRNA from 1 species